ACGUCUGUCUCAGUAGAUAUAAUUUACCUUCGCUCUUCCCUUUAUAUAUUUAGUUCCCUCUUUAAAACAUCUCUGCCUAUAUUUAGAACCCAGAAUGAUCAUGCCCCUGUGGAAAAAGAACAUGCGUAUAUCCUUACUGGCAGCGCAGAGCAGGUCUGUAUUAGCACUUGAGCUGCCCUGCCUGUAAGUUUCCCUUUAAGACCAUACCCUUCUUUUAUAAACUACGCCUCAGAUGAUCGUGUGUUGUUCAGAAGCUUCCAGGGCUAGCACUGGCAUGAAAGCCUGCAACAUCUGCUGUUGGUUUCAAAUUAGAGUAUUUCUUCUUCCAGUAUACUAUUAAGAACAUCUCUCAGGUUUUACUGUGAGUAGUUGUGCUAUUAAGUAUUGAAAAUUCUUGGCAUUUAGGUAUUUCUGAAGUAUUUGUGAUCGCCGCCUUUCAUCUCAAUUUUUUUAUUGUUGGAUUUUGUAGUCACUCUCAAUUAUUUCUGACAGCACAGCAUAUUGCCAGAAGAAAAAGAAAUGUAGUGUGUUACAAGAAAAUCAGUGUCUAAGAAGAAUUAGGAGUUAAGAGUGCUUUUUCAAAAUGUUGCUUUUCCACGUAAACCGGAAAAGGAGGCAAACUAUGUCAUUCUUUAGACAUUGGGAGAUACUCUGCAACUGGGCACUGGCUGCUUAAUGGUGAUUAAGGCUUUUAAAAAUAGGAAAGCUUUUUGAAGAUCACAAAGUGAAGAGCAUGCCUGUCACUGUGCUCUGAGAGCUGGAAGUUCCUUCCCUUGAGUUUCUGAAAGGCCUGGAGACAGCUGACUGGUUAUUAGCUGGGUGAAGAUAGUUUGAUGAACAGGAGUGAAAGCGAAAAUUGAGGUUGCUGGUUACCAGGGCCAAGGGGACAUGUACAAGUCAGGGAAGACCCAGCCACAAACUCCUCCAAGACAAAGCGCAGCCAUCCAGCCACGA